UAUGAAGGGGGCUAGCGUUGUUCGGAAUUACUGGGCGUAAAGCGCGCGCAGGCGGUCUUCCAAGUCAGUGGUGAAAGCCCGGAGCUCAACUCCGGAACUGCCAUUGAAACUGUUAGACUUGAGGAUGAGAGAGGUGAGUGGAAUUCCCAGUGUAGAGGUGAAAUUCGUAGAUAUUGGGAAGAACACCAGUGGCGAAGGCGGCUCACUGGCCCGAUACUGACGCUGAGGCACGAAAGCGUGGGGAGCAAACAGGG
rnacentral:rRNA from 1 species